rnacentral:rRNA from 1 species
CACGUAGGGCGCAAGCGUUGUCCGGAAUUAUUGGGCGUAAAGAGCUCGUAGGCGGUCUGUUGCGUCUGCUGUGAAAACUCGGGGCUUAACCCCGAGCCUGCAGUGGAUACGGGCAGACUAGAGGUAGGUAGGGGAGAAUGGAAUUCCUGGUGUAGCGGUGGAAUGCGCAGAUAUCAGGAGGAACACCGGUGGCGAAGGCGGGUCUCUGGGCCGUUACUGACGCUGAGGAGCGAAAGCGUGGGGAGCGAACAGG